GCUGGGCGUGGUGGCGCAUGCCUGUAAUCCCAACUACUCAGGAGGCUGAGGCAGGAGAAUUGCUUGAACCCGGGGCAGGGGGUGGGGGGGGUGGGUGGCACCGAGGUUGCAGUGAGCCAAGGUGGCACCAUUGCACUCCAGCCUGGGCGACAGAGCAAGACUCUGUCUCAA
rnacentral:SRP_RNA from 1 species